GGGGGAUGCAAGCGUUAUCCGGAAUCAUUGGGCGUAAAGCGCCUGUAUGUUGUUUAAUAAGUCUGUUGUUAAAGACUAGGGCUUAACCCUAGAAAAGCAAUGGAAACUACUAGACUAGAGUAUGGCAGGGGUAGAGGGAAUUUCUAGUGUAGCGGUGAAAUGCGUAGAUAUUAGAAAGAACACCGGUGGCGAAAGCGCUCUACUGGACCAUUACUGACACUCAGAGGCGAAAGCUAGGUGUAGCAAAAGGGAUUAGAUACCCCUGUAGUCCUAGCCGUAAACGAUGGAUACUAGAUGUUGUGCUUAUGUACAGUAUCGUAGCUAACGCGUUAAGUAUCCCGCCUGGGGAGUACGCUCGCAAGGGUGAAACUCAAAGGAAUUGACGGGGGCCGCACAAGCGGUGGAGCAUGUGGUUUAAUUCGAUGCAACGCGAAGAACCUUACCAGGACUUGACAUACUACAAAUUCUUUUGAGAAAAAGAAGUGCCUUCGGGAAUGUAGAUACAGGUGGUGCAUGGCUGUCGUCAGCUCGUGUCGUGAGAUGUUGGGUUAAGUCCCGCAACGAGCGCAACCCUUAUUUUUAGUUACCAAUUCGUUGGGUUCUCUAGAAAGACUGCCGGUGACAAACCGGAGGAAGGUGAGGAUGACGUCAAGUCAGCAUGCCCCUUAUGUCCUGGGCUACACACGUGCUACAAUGGUUAAGACAAAGAGUCGCGAGCUCGCAAGAGUCAGCUAAUCUCAUAAACUUAGCCUAAGUUCAGAUUGUAGGCUGCAACUCGCCUACAUGAAGUUGGAAUCGCUAGUAAUCGCUGGUCAGCCAUACAGCGGUGAAUCCGUUCCCGGGCCUU
rnacentral:rRNA from 1 species